CUACGGGAUGCAGCAGUGAGGAAUUUUGCGCAAUGGGGGGAACCCUGACGCAGCAACGCCGCGUGAGUGAAGAAGGCCUUUGGGUCGUAAAGCUCUGUCAACAGGGAAGAAGUUACUUCAUAUUAAUAGUGUGUAGUAUUGACGGUACCUGUGGAGGAAGCAUCGGCUAACUCCGUGCCAGCAGCCGCGGUAAUACGGGGGAUGCAAGCGUUAUUCGGAAUCAUUGGGCGUAAAGGGCACGCAGGCGGCUCUGUCAGUCAGAUGUGAAAGCCCGGGGCUCAACCCCGGACGUGCAUUUGAAACAGCAGAGCUUGAGUACGGUAGAGGAAAGCGGAAUUCCUGGUGUAGAGGUGAAAUUCGUAGAUAUCAGGAGGAACACCGGUGGCGAAGGCGGCUUUCUGGACCGAAACUGACGCUGAGGUGCGAAGGCGUGGGUAGCGAACAGGAUUAGAUACCCUGGUAGUC
rnacentral:rRNA from 1 species